AUUGGAUUAAUCAAGCCAAGUGGGCAUAAUCAUCAUUAUUAUUCUCAGAACUGACAGUGAGACGGUGCUUUGGGAUUUACAAAAGGGGCUGUUCUCACAAGGAUCAAACGAAAUCGUGUGUCUUGUAAUGUUCAAGCACCACAAAAAGAACACCACCAAACUGCCUCUGGGGAAAAAGCAUGAGUAGCUGCUGGUUCUAUUUCAAGAAAUGCCUGAUCCUGAACCUCUGUGAACCACUCUGGGGCCAUCAAAGAAUGUUUCCAGAGCCACCUAGCUGGUUUCCUGAACAAACACAAAGCGAGGCCUCGGUAAGGCUGUAAGAGCCGUGUGUCGACAGGGGCACUGGGCACA